ACUCCUACGGGAGGCAGCAGUGGGGAAUAUUGCACAAUGGGGGAAACCCUGAUGCAGCCAUGCCGCGUGUGUGAAGAAGGCCUUCGGGUUGUAAAGCACUUUCAGUAGGGAGGAAGGUAGUGUAGUUAACACCUGCACUAUUUGACGUUACCUACAGAAGAAGCACCGGCUAACUCCGUGCCAGCAGCCGCGGUAAUACGGAGGGUGCGAGCGUUAAUCGGAAUUACUGGGCGUAAAGCGCAUGCAGGCGGCCUGUUAAGUCAGAUGUGAAAGCCCGGGGCUUAACCUCGGAAUUGCAUUUGAAACUGGCAGGCUAGAGUCUGUAGAGGGGGGUAGAAUUUCAGGUGUAGCGGUGAAAUGCGUAGAGAUCUGAAGGAAUACCAGUGGCGAAGGCGGCCCCCUGGACAAAGACUGACGCUCAGAUGCGAAAGCGUGGGGAGCAAACAGGAUUAGAUACCCUGGUAGGAUAGCG
rnacentral:rRNA from 1 species